UGUUAGCGGCGGACGGGUGAGUAACACGUGGGUAACCUGCCUGUAAGACUGGGAUAACUCCGGGAAACCGGAGCUAAUACCGGAUAGUUCCUUGAACCGCAUGGUUCAAGGAUGAAAGACGGUUUCGGCUGUCACUUACAGAUGGACCCGCGGCGCAUUAGCUAGUUGGUGGGGUAAUGGCUCACCAAGGCGACGAUGCGUAGCCGACCUGAGAGGGUGAUCGGCCACACUGGGACUGAGACACGGCCCAGACUCCUACGGGAGGCAGCAGUAGGGAAUCUUCCGCAAUGGACGAAAGUCUGACGGAGCAACGCCGCGUGAGUGAUGAAGGUUUUCGGAUCGUAAAGCUCUGUUGUUAGGGAAGAACAAGUGCGAGAGUAACUGCUCGCACCUUGACGGUACCUAACCAGAAAGCCACGGCUAACUACGUGCCAGCAGCCGCGGUAAUACGUAGGUGGCAAGCGUUGUCCGGAAUUAUUGGGCGUAAAGGGCUCGCAGGCGGUUUCUUAAGUCUGAUGUGAAAGCCCCCGGCUCAACCGGGGAGGGUCAUUGGAAACUGGGAAACUUGAGUGCAGAAGAGGAGAGUGGAAUUCCACGUGUAGCGGUGAAAUGCGUAGAGAUGUGGAGGAACACCAGUGGCGAAGGCGACUCUCUGGUCUGUAACUGACGCUGAGGAGCGAAAGCGUGGGGAGCGAACAGGAUUAGAUACCCUGGUAGUCCACGCCGUAAACGAUGAGUGCUAAGUGUUAGGGG
rnacentral:rRNA from 1 species